rnacentral:rRNA from 1 species
AACGAACGCUGGCGGCAGGCCUAACACAUGCAAGUCGAGCGAAGCCUUCGGGCUUAGCGGCGGACGGGUGAGUAACGCGUGGGAACGUGCCCUUUGCUACGGAAUAGCCCCGGGAAACUGGGAGUAAUACCGUAUGUGCCCUUCGGGGGAAAGAUUUAUCGGCAAAGGAUCGGCCCGCGUUGGAUUAGGUAGUUGGUGGGGUAAUGGCCUACCAAGCCGACGAUCCAUAGCUGGUUUGAGAGGAUGAUCAGCCACACUGGGACUGAGACACGGCCCAGACUCCUACGGGAGGCAGCAGUGGGGAAUCUUAGACAAUGGGCGGAAGCCUGAUCCAGCCAUGCCGCGUGAUCGAUGAAGGCCUUAGGGUUGUAAAGAUCUUUCAGGUGGGAAGAUAAUGACUGUACCACCAGAAGAAGCCCCGGCUAACUCCGUGCCAGCCGCCGCAAUAAGAC